GACAGAGGGGGCAAGCGUUGCUCGGAAUCACUGGGCGUAAAGGGCGCGUAGGCGGGAUGGCAAGUCGGUCGUGAAAUCCUUCGGCUCAACCGAAGAACGUCGGCCGAUACUGCCGUUCUUGAGGACUGGAGAGGAGACUGGAAUUCAUGGUGUAGCAGUGAAAUGCGUAGAGAUCAUGAGGAAGACCAGUGGCGAAGGCGGGUCUCUGGACAGUUCCUGACACUGAGACACGAAGGCCAGGGGAGCAAACGGG
rnacentral:rRNA from 1 species